GGAUAACCUGCCCUAUUGUCUGGAAUAACCUCGGGAAACUGAGAACAAGGCCGGAUAGCCCACAAUGCCUGGAACGGUUUGUGGGUGAAGAUAGGAUGGGUCUGCGGCGUAUCAGGUUGUAGGGGGUGUAAUGGACCUCCUAGCCAUCGACGCGUACGGGUGUUGGGAGACAUAGCCCGGAGAUGGAUUCUGAGACACGAAUCCAGACCCUACGGGGUGCAGCAGGCGCGAAAACUUCACACUGCAGGAAACUGUGAUGAGGGAACUCCAAGUGCUAUCACUAUGUGGUAGCUUUUCUUGACUAUUAAUCGGUCAUGGAAUAAGGGCUGGGAAAGACCGGUGCCAGCCGCCGCGGUAAUACCGGCAGCUCAAGUGGUCGUCGCUUUUAUUGGGCCUAAAACGUCCGUAGCCUGUUUGGUAAAUCUGUGGGUAAAUCAACCAGCUUAACUGGUUGAAUUCUGCAGAGACUGCCAGACUAGGGACCGGGAGAGGUGUGGGGUACUCUAGGGGUGGGGGUAAAAUCCUGUCAUCCUUAGAGGACCACCAGUUGCGAAGGCGCCACACUGGAACGGAUCCGACGGUCAGGGACGAAGCCUAGGGGCACGAACCGGAUUAGAUACCCGGGUAGUCCUAGGUGUAAACGCUGUGAACUUGGUGUCGGGGAUCCGUAAUGGGUCCUCGGUGCCGGAGUGAAGAUGUUAAGUUCACUGCCUGGGGAGUACGGUCGCAAGGCUGAAACUU
rnacentral:rRNA from 1 species